CAAGGAUCCAGCCCCGGUUCGGAGAGAAAGAGGGGAAAUGGAGGAGAAGGGGAAAGUUGGGAGUGAGAGAUGGAGCGCUGCGAUCGGAAAUCUAUCGGAGAUGACGUCCAAUCUGAACUCACUCCAAAAGCUACUUGUGAAGAAAGCAGUGUUCGUCGACGACGACACUUUUGCCAAAGUUUCUCUCACCUCCGAACAAGCCCGCACUAUUAAGGUUCUUGAACAAAGAGUUCAGACUUUAGAGCGAGAAUUAGAUAAUGCUAUUUCUGCUGCUGCUCAUGCACGGACUGAGAAAAGACAGGUUGAGGUGGCUCAGAAAGCUGCUGAACUACGUGCCCAAGAGGUUACAAAAGAGCUUGAAAAUACCACAAGAGUAUUUGAGCUGCACAUGGAAGAGCUGCGUGCAAAGCAAGAAGAGAUAUCCAAGCGAGACAAGGAAAUUAAACUUUUAGAGGCCAUUAUUCAGACACUUGGAGGCAAAGGCUCCAAUUCUUCCGAUGAAUGAGUAAGGAGGAGAGUCUAUGAUGAUCGUAAUUACCAUGUCAUCUUGUACCAUUUCGUUGUAUAUUAAACAAAAUUUUGUUUUCUAAUGCUGUACCUGAAAG
rnacentral:misc_RNA from 1 species